rnacentral:ncRNA from 2 species
CCAUCGAUGUCCGCCGCUGGCUAGGCUGUGGCGUGCGAGUAGUGCGGAAGCCGGUGUGAAUCCGGCACGGUCGCGUCACUGUAACGGUGUGCCCGGCUCGGGGCGCCGAAGUCAGACCUGCCGCUCGCGCGUACUGACC